AACAUGUGAGUUACCGAAAUACCAAGGUUGCUACCGCUUUGCGUUGUUGUUGCUGGAAGAACGUCGAGUCGUGAUGUGACGGUUCUAGUUGUAGCCUUUGUGGUUGCAACAAGGGUGGCGGAGGAGAGCUUAAGGGAUUAGUGGUUUUUACAGCUGAAGCGUGGAGUAUGGAGGGUUAUUUUUUUGUAUGAACAGUGUUGCAGAGAGAGAGAUUUCAAAAAUGUCUUCCUCCUCUCCUUUUUUUCUCUUUUUGAAUGGUAGCCGCCCCCAAUGAGGAGAAAGUUCUCCCCUUUUAUUCAUCCUGUUAGGGUUUGGAAUAGGUUACUGAGAUCAAAAGAGUAUUGGAA
rnacentral:lncRNA from 1 species